rnacentral:lncRNA from 1 species
UUUGGCAAUGGGUUUGGUGAGCAUAAAAAAUAAGUCAUGCUAAGGCUUAGUUUGGUAUUGAGACUUAUCAAACACUAUUAGAUAAAAUUAAGUUGAGAAAAAAACAUAUAGAGAUAUGCUUCUGCGUUCUCCGGUGGGACCGCAGAAAAUAUAUUGUAACCGACUCAUCGCGAUACGCGGAACACGUACGGAAACAAAUAGAAUAUUUUUCCAACGUACUUUUUCACCCCACAUAACGCUAUCUCACCGCAAUCUCAAACGAAGCCUAAAAUACAGAAAGCUUUUCUAUAAGUAUCUAUUUUUUUUACCUUUUCUCUCUAGAUUUCAAAAAUCUAUAUUUUAGCCCCGCAAAAUUUCAAGUUGACAUAUUUAGCCUCCCUAUAUUAGGGUUCCAUCACUAAUAUUCCGUCUAUUAAUUUUUUAAAAUUUAUUUCAAAAAUACUCUUAAAAAUGAUAGAAAUAUAUUAAAAUAUUAUUUUUUUAUAUAAUAAGUAAGGGUAAUUUGGUCAUUUCGUUUUUUCCCCCUUAAUACUGUGAUCAUAAAAAUAUUUUUAAAAUUUAAUAGAGUAAAUAAUAGAUUUUUAAAAGUAAAAAAAAAGGGUAAAAAAAAGAAUAUUUACAAAGAAUAUUUUAG